rnacentral:lncRNA from 1 species
UUUUUUUUUUUUGUUUUUUUUUUUUUUUGACAGGGUCUUGCUCUGUCACCCAGCCUGGAGUGCAGUGGUGGGUUCACAGCUCACUGCAGCCUCAACUUCUGGGCUCAUGCAAUCCUCCUAUCUCAGCCUUCCAAGUAGCUGGGACUACAGGUAUAUGCCACCACACCUGGCUAAUUUUUUGUAUUUUAGUAUAGACAGGGUUUCACUGUGUUGCCCAGGCUGGUCUCGAACUCUUGAGCUCAGGAAAUCUGCCUGCCUUGCCUCCCAAAGUGCUGGGAUUAUGGGUGUGAGCCACGCGCCCAGCCUAUGCUGUUAUAAGUUCUUGUAAUCUGUUUUUUAAAUACCUAACAUUAUAUCAUGCACAUCUUUCUAUAUUAAUAAACAUACAGCUAUGUAAUCUUUAAUAAGAGUGCAUAGUAUUCCAUUGAAUGAAUUGACCAUACUUUAAUCAAUCUGCAAUUACUAGUGCUCAUAUGUGUUCUGAAUUUUAUCUUUAUAAGCAAGACAGUGACGGACACUUAUUUAUAUAUAUCCCCAUGUGCUUUCUAACUAUUUUUCAUAGACACCCAAGUCUGAUCUCCGUUUAUUUCUGGAAUAAGGUACAUUAUAAGGCACACUCCUUUUUUAACUUUUAAAUAUAUUUUUACUGGAACACAGACUUUGUACAUUGAUCUCAAAUGCUAUGACCUUUACAUAAUCAUGCUGUGUGAAAUAGUUUUAUUUCUUUCUUUUCAAUUUUUACCUAAUUUUUUUUUUCACAUAGUGUGCUGGCUAGGAUUUCCAAUACAAGAUAAAUGUUUGAAGCAAAACAUCGUGGCUUUGUUUCUAACCUUAGGAGAAAGCAUUCGUUCUUGCAUGAUUUACAUGACACUAAGUGUAAACUUUUCGUAGAUCACUUUUCAAGGUUGAGAAGGUUUUGUUCCAUUUCUAGUUUUGUGAGUUUUUAUCAUGAAUGGGUACUGAACUUUGUCACUUUUUUUCUGGAUCUAGCAAGGUGAUAUGAU